GGCCAGUUAAGAGAGCAGGUGGUAGGCAGUGAGGGCUUUGCCAGAGGGAAAACUUAAUUCUGGCAGGAUGGGAACUGUAAAUAAGUAAGUAUUUAAACAAAUUAAUGGACAGGAUCACAAAGAGAAAAUUUAAACUGGGGGGUUACAUGGGGUCUGUCAACAAGAAUGGCUAAAUUAUAAAACAAGAAUAUUCCAGGGGGGAGGGAGAGAGACAGUGAACUGUGCCUUCAUUCAAAAUAAAAAUCAUAUCCCCCAAGAGAUGAGUUAAAAUAAACUAGUUCAAACAUUCACACAUGACUGUACCUCUCUGCUUUUAUCCUCUCAACAUUGGGAAGACGAUUAUGCUACAAACAUAGAAAGUGUCAGUGAGUUGCAGCAUGCAAACAAUGAGAAGAAAAUAAUGCUGUUAGAGAUCAUACACACACACACAAUUUGGAACAAUUUAUAGCGAGAGGUAACAAACCUGAGGUUUUCAAAACAUCCUGUCCUGCAAGAGUUUACAUUCACAAACCUGAAAAUGAGCAUGUAAUAACUAUGAUUUACUGGCCCUUCCAAAGAAAUUCUUAGAACUGUAGCACAAGUACACACUUCCUCAGAUUGCAGACUUCCUUGGUGAUUUAGAGGAAGUGAGUGCAUAAGAAUAGGCUCCUGGAUCAGACCGGGCGGCCAUUUAGUCCAGCAUCCUGUUCUCACAGUGGCCAGUCAGAUGCCUAUGGGAAGCCUGCAAGCAGGACCUAAGGACACCAUCAUUCUCCCCACUUGUGCUCCCCAGACCCUGGUAUUCAGAGGCAUGUUACCUGUAGCACUGAAAUAAUCACAGCCAUCAGGCUAGUAGCCAUUGCUAAGUCUUCUCCUUCUCCAUGGGUUUGUCUAAAUCACUUCUAAAGUCAUGCAACUUGGUGGCCAUCACUACUUCUUGUGAGAGCACAUUCCAUAGUUUAAUUAUGCACUAUGUGAAGAAGUACUGGUAGCUAAUUCUUUUUGUCUGUCUUCCAAUAUCAGCUUCAUAUAUUGCUCUGUGUUCUAGUAUCAUAAAGAAGAAAAGCUCCUCUCUAAUCACUCCUUUCAAAUUGUACAUAAUUUUACACACCUCUAUCAUGACCCCCUUUCCUUGCCAUUUUUUCUAUAACUAAAGUGCCCCAAAUGUUGUAACCUUCCUUCAUAGGGGUGUUUCUCCAGCCUUUUGAUCAUUUAAAAACCUGUCUCAGCUCUACAAUAUCCUUUCUGAUAUGGGGUAACCAGAAUCGUAAACAGUAUUUCAAGAGCACCAUAUGUUUGGAUAACAGCAUUGUUAUAUUGGUAGUAGUUUCAUUUCCAGUCUCUUUUCUUAUGUGUCCUAACAUGGAAUUCACUUUUUAACAGCUGCAACAUACUGGGUCAGCUUCAUCUAGAUAUUCACCAUGACUCCAACAUGCACUACCUGAUCACUCAGUACCAGUUCAGACCUGUAUGCAUUACAUGAAGUUAGGAAUUUUUGCCUCAGUGUUCAUCACUUCACACUUUCAUUUGGAUAAAAACUAGGUUGUGUAUGAGUGGGGUGUGUGUGUGUUUUGGAAGGGGGAUCUUUUUCAAAUGAGACUUUUUCUGAACUUUCUAAACUUAUAUCAUUCAUUUGAAUAGCCUUUAUUUCCUUACACCUCACUCUAUUUGUUAUGAGUUUCAACAAUUAUUUAGGCUCCAGUUCCAUGCACAUUCAGUUGGGCGCAAUAGGCCUUAAGGCUUCCAUUUUAUCUUUGCUACCCAGCUCAGUGACAUGUUAUAGUACCUCCCUAUAUCAUUUUAUUAUCACAACUUUGAGAUGUGAGAUACACUGAGAGAUAUUGAGGUGCCUAAGCCAAUGAGCUUUGCAGAUGGACAGAGAUUUGAACCAAACCACCUCUCCUGUCAUGUCAUGUGUGUGGUGUUCAGAAAGCCAAGGUUACAAUAGACGUCAGUGGAUUCAAGCUCUUGCCUACGAGAAUCCCUGGGCAAUAAUUGUAGCUGAAUCCUUGCUGGCAGAGGUUGAUGGAGUGGGUUGCUAUGGCAUUGUCUUGCAUAGUCUGUGUGUGGUGAUUCAGGAAUCAUGUUAGGAUCUGUCCCUGCUGUUGUGAAUUGAUUGGCUGCAGCAAGCAACUUGUGGACAUCACUACAAUAAGUCCCUGAUUGGUUGCCUUUGGUGGUGCUUCUAGGGGUUUGGGGGAUGCAUUUAAUUUUAGUACCAUUUUUCUUUUUUGAAGUUGCAUGUUUUCUCCUAGGUUGAACCUAUAUUGGUAGUGGCAACAUAUAUUCAAUCUUGAUACAAUAUGAGUAUGGAAUUGCUCUGCCCCAACUUUACACAAUCUUCCUUCAUACAUGUGGAGACAAUGGAUACAUGGGUAGGACUGUGGUGUGUGUGUAUGCUUUGCCUUGGCUGUGCAUAUAUAGAUAAACACAAAUUUUCAGGCUUCCUAUAAGUUUAGCUUCUUUUUUCUCCCUUAUUGGCUUUGUCACUUUUUAAUUUUGAAUGUAAAUACUGAUUUAGUUGAAUGGUUUUGAUUUUCUUUCACACACAAAGGUUACAGGAAGAAAAACUAGGUAAGAUAUAUAAGAUAGGUUGGAAAAUGUCAUAAUGCGGCAUUUUUUCCAGUUAGUUAAACAAAAACAAAUCAGCCAAUAUUCAGGUUCUCAUUUGUUUUUCUUUGGGGCAGUUCAUGAUCAUUUUUCUAAAGAACCUAAGAAGAGCCCUGCUGAAUCAGACCAAAAACCUAUCUAGUCCAGCAUCCUAUUCUCACCUUGACCAGCCAGAUGCUUAUGGGAAACCUACAAGCAGGACAUAAACUAGCAGUGCUCUGCCAAUAAUUCACCCCUAUCAACUGGAAUUCAGCAAUGUGACAUUUCUGAUCCUGGAGGUAGUAUAACCAUCCUUACUAAUAGCAGAAGCAGACUUUGGGCUCUAAAAUUUCAGAGGGGCCCUGUAUAAUGAGAAAAUUCAGAAACUGCCCCCACCUCUUGCCCUCCAUUCCACAGCAUUGUUGUGGCGCAUUCUGCUUUGUGGUGCCCAGUCUGGCCGAACCAUAAAACUGCCUCUGCUAAUAGCAAGCAACAGCCAUAUCCUGCAUCUAAUUUGUUGGCCAUCACCACAUCUGUAAUCUCUCUCUCUCUCUUUAUAAAGCACUCAGUUCAGUGAGGCUUACCUCCAAAUAUGUGUAGUGAAUGUUUCAGUCUUCAAAACAUAGCCAGUAAAAUGAGCUGUAACCAAACUAAAAGCAAAACAAGGGCAGCUAAACUGAUCCAGCUAGAAGCAAACAAGUUGCCUAGCAAAAGCCAUAAAGGUAAAGGUAAAGGUACCCCUGCCCGUACGGGCCAGUCUUGCCAGACUCUAGGGUUGUGCGCUCAUCUCACUCUAGAGGCCGGGAGCCAGCGCUGUCCGCAGACACUUCCGGGUCACAUGGCCAGCGUGACAAGCUGCAUCUGGCGAGCCAGCGCAGCACAUGGAACGCCGUUUACCUUCCCGCUGGUAAGCGGUCCCUAUUUAUCUACUUGCAGUUCAAAAGGGUGCUUUGGAACUGCUAGGUUGGCAGGCGCUGGGACCGAACGACGGGAGCGCACCCCGCCGUGGGGAUUCGAACCGCCGACCAUGCAAUCGGCAAGUCCUAGGUGCUGAGGUUUUACCCACAGCGCCACCCACGUCCUCAGCAAAAGCCAUAGGGCCACCUUAAAACUCAUAACACCUCAGCAUUCCAACAGCAGAACAUUGUAAGUCCUCUAAGAACAGAAUAAGAGGAGCCUAGGCUGGCCAAAUAUAUGUCCAAAUUAUUGGCCUCAAUUAUCUAAAAGCUGAUGUCCACAGGGACACAAAGAGGUUUGCAGAAAUGCAGUUUAAGCUAAUGCAUUGUAUAAGGCCACCAGCAGACAAAGGUAGCUAGAAGCCAAAAUUGCUCCCAGACACAUAAAAGUAAAUGCUUGGCUGCCAGUAUAGCAAAGCAGGUUAUCUGCUGCCAAAGUUCAUAUAGUCAAUUGGACAGCAGAGCAGUCAGUUGGAUAGCAAGAGAACUGUUGCACCAAGAGUAAUCUGGCACCAUCUGAUGAAUGAUGCCUUAAUGCUACUGAGCCCAGGAAAAGAAAGGUCCCAUAGCCUCUUCUGAACUUCAGAAUACUUACUAAACUACUAAAUGACCAAGACCUGAUAAAUGAAGUCAGCUCUUAUGCCACUUUGUAGGUUUUCAUAGUGAAUUUGUGUCACACAACUGGCAGUUCUGGUGAGAGGAAUGAUCUAAGGUGUCCCUUCUCAACCUCGUGCCCUCCAGGUGUUUUGGAUCACAAUGCCUUUCAGUCCUUAGGACCUCUGCUUUCUAGGUACAGGACAGGCCAAAGCAUGGAUGAACCCUUAGCACUAGGCUGGAGAAAGUUGGUCUAGAAUCUCUUUGGCUGGACAUAGGACUCAGAAAUGAAUGCAUACGAUUGGGAAUUCACAUGCUGUUGUGUUUAAACAGUCCGGGCUAUUGAAUACCAAAACUGCCAACUUGCUACUGAAAUGUUGAUGAAUACAAAAUUUAUUUCCCCACACAAUGGGGAAAGGGCCAUUGUGUGUAUUUAAAUAAUAAAAUAUAGAAAAGACAAAUAAAAAAAAAGUGUUCUAUCAUUCAUUGUGAAGAAAAGAAAAACCCUCUGUUUGUUUUAAAUGGAAUAACUGCUGUUUUAAUCUUUGGCAUAUUCAUUUGGGGAGCUAAUGGGGAAAUUAUUUCUUUUAUUGAUUGUAUAUUAAUUGUGAACUGCUUGAAAAAAAUUAUCGAUGUAAGUCAAAUAAAUAUUUAAAUUGGUGACCUUGGAACUUGAUGGAAAGCCUCCCAUAGUUUAUUUUCUCACACUUAUACCCCACCCUUCCUCUCCAUGGGAGUACAGAGUGGCCUUCAAUACAGUAUUGCAUAGACGCCAACAAGUAUGUAACAACCCACAUUUUAAUGUCAUCUAAGGGAAGUCCUUCUCUGAGUCCCCUUAACCUAAAUACUAAAGGGUGUCAUAUGAGAGAGAGACCUUUUUUGGUGGUGGCCUCCUAUUUGUGGAAUGAUCUUUCUAGGGAAGAUAUCCUGGCACCCAGAAUUAUUGUCCUUUUGCUGCUAGGCUAAUACUUUUUUGUUCUCCCAUACUUUUAAAUAUCUUAUUUUCGUUCCUGUGGUAAGGUUAGUCGCUUUAGCUCCUGUAUGUCCUAUUGCUAUGUAGCUUAUUUGAUUUGUAUUGUGUUUAUACUUUGUACUGUAUUUACACUGCCUGGGUUAGAUUUUUUUAAAGAUUCAUUGUGGAUUAUUUUUACUGUAUUGUUUUGUUUAUUUUAAUUGAUUUUGAAUGAUGCAUAGAGAAAUCAUUUUGUGAUGUAUUGACACAGACAAAUAAACAGUUAAAUCAGAGUGGAUUCUGGAUGUUUUUCUUUCUUUCUUUCUUUCUUUCUUUCUUUCUUUCUUUCUUUCUUUCCUUCUUUCUUUAGAAAAAUGAAUUGCCUCUUGAUGGCCCCAUUGCCACAAUCUCUCUUAACAAGGUUUGCUGUGGGAAACAGUGUAAUGAGCAAGACAUGUGAAAUAUACUUCUUCUUUGCCAAACCUUUAUUAAGCAUUACAUGUAUAGGCCAUCAUAAAAUAUUUUUUUAAUGAAAUAUACAACAUUGGCUAUUGAAGACAGGAGUUCUCCAUCUACUACGAGCUGUAUCAGGUUCUCCCAACAGCUGUGCCAAUUUCCAUCCAGUAUAUUGCCAUCCAAAAUAGUGAACUGAAUCCCAGACCUUUGCUUAACUUGCUGCCAGCUGCAUAUCCCUGUUCCAGAUUGUACCGACAAUAUAAACAAACAUGCAUUUAUAAUUAUGUUGAGACUAUCAAACUCGGUACAGGUUUCUUUGACCUGAGGUUAGAUUUAAUCCUAGAGGUCCAUCCAGUUGCCUUCAAAAGUAUAAUCCUAUUAAGUAAGGCAUGAUGCUGAGAGAUUCGACAUGGCUUAAUUUGAAUCACAUCUCCCUCAUCCCUUCAGACAGUUAUUUCCAAUGCUCUUUGGACAAAAAAAAAAAAAAUUCUCUUCAUUUCUCUUGCUGAUAUUAAUUCAGCACCAUUAAUUUACCUCACGUUCCAUGCAAGAAGCUACAUCGCAGAACACGAUUUUGACAAAUCCACUAAAAAAAUUCCCUUAAGCUAUAGCCAAAGAGUCAAUAAAAUCGAGAGCUACAUUUGUAUUAAUUGUGGAUUUUAUGGGGGAACAGCUUACCUUAGAUGUAUAAACGAAGAAAGUCUUAAUCUUUUAUUCUUACCACUGAGUGGCCUUUAAACUUUAGGUUUCCACUUAGAGCACCUACCAGGUGUGACAAGUGUAUCAAGAUUUGUCAUGAAAAGUGCUUUAACUGACACCUGCGUUUGGCACCUAGAGGGGGAAAUGUUUCCCAGGCAUACUUAAAAGGGAAGGCUUCAAAAGACCUUAAAGCCAAUUCAGUUAACCAGCCAAAGAGGGAAAGGGAAAAUUACAACAUUAGCAUGAAAAUAUUACAACUGUAAGACGUACAAUUAUGAUAAUUUACAGAAUAAAAAAAAUGAGGAGUCUUCUGGGAAUACGACACAGAGACAAACCCUUCGUAUGCGCUAGAGCUCUCUACCAGUAAGGAGCUCCUAUUGGGGGAGGUGCAGAUUAGGUGUUCUCAUGAAGAAUUGCUGCUGAUUAAAAAGAAAAAAGGGGGGGGAGACAAAACCUUAUGGCUAGCAAAAUCCUAGGAUACGUUCUUGAUUCUGUUGAUGUUAAUGAUAGCUCCAUUAUGAACUACAGCAGAGCGCCAAAUAUUGGAUGAGGAAUGAAAAGAUAUGGAAUGUGGGAAAGCAACAAACUAAAAGUUUCCUUUUGCGCAAAUAUUCCAGCCUUUCCAGUGGUGUAGUAGUGAAUGUUGAAGCAGAUCUAAUCUCAUAAUCACCCAAAGAGAUUCCAUAGGCACACCCCUAAAGAGAAAUGAGAAAUGCAGGCAGCUGUGUGUCAAUCUCAAUAGCCCCCCAAGAGCUGUGAUAGGUAGCAGAAUAUCCAAUCUAUGAGUAUCAUCUGGCAAUUAUAGUGAACUGGCAGAGGGUAGUGUGAUAGCAUGUUGGACUUGGGGUGCACAGACCUGGAUUCACAGCCCUGAUCAAGCAUCAUGUCCACUAGGUGACCUUAAUCAGUGACUGUCCUAGCACAAGGAUCAUGUACUAAGCCAGACAUAUGGCUGGACAAAUAAUAAGAGGUUCUCCAACUAGAGAUUUUAUUGUCAUGCACAACAUGUGCUGACUCCCAUUUGGAGCAAUCCCAAGGGAGCAAUCCUACACACAAGAAGCUCCAAACCUUCCAAUUUACAAUGACCGGCAAAUACUGCUCUAACAUAUGAUGUCUGAGCUCCUGGUGAGUGGGGGGGGGGGGGUGAGUACCAGAGCUGUAUUGUCCACCAUCCCUGUUUCACUAUUCCACUGAGCCUUUCAGAGGAAGGUACUUCAUGCCUCUCUUCAGCCUACUAUAUAAAAAAAUAGGUAAAGGUAAAGGGACCCCUGACCAUUAGGUCCAGUCAUGGCUGACUCUGGGGUUGCGGCGCUCAUCUCGCUUUAUUGGCUGAGGGAGCCGGCGUACAGCUUCCAAGUCAUGUGGCCAGCAUGACUAAGCCGCUUCUGGCAAACCAGAGCAUCGCACAGAAACACCAUUUACCUUCCCACCGGAGCGGUACCUAUUUAUCUACUUGCACUUUGACGUGCUUUCAAACUGCUAGGUUGACAGGAGCAGAGACCGAGCAACGGGAGCUCACCCCGGCGCAGGGAUUUGAACCGCCGACCUUCUGAUCGGCAAGUUCUAGGCUCUGUGGUUAACCCACAGUGCCACCCGUGUCCCAUAUAAAAAAAUAAUCCUGCAUAAAGCCAUCAUCUUAAAUUGAAACAUGUCAGUUCAUGUGCCCUUUUAGUAAAUAUGGGAGGAGGAACUAUAUGCCCAAAUAUGGGUUGUUGUACCAAAUACCAGUCAGUGAAAACUAUUCUGUAACAAGUGCAUAUGCAUCAGAGAGCAGGCAUGAUGUAACAGUUAGAGUAAGUGGAGAAAUUGAAGCUCAGAUCACUUUUGAGCCAUGACCUUGGGCCAGGGAAAGUUGUGAUUAUAAAAUGGGGUAGAGAGACCUGCACUUUGUUCUUUUGGAGGAAGAGUGAGAUUAAAAAAGUAAUAAGUAUAUAAAAAUGUAGAUCCUCAGCAAUACAAAUGCCUAUAUGUGCCUUGACAAAAGAGGGCCUAAGAAUUAUCCUGUGUACACUGCUUUGACUUACAAGUAAGCUGAACCUGCCAACAGGAAGAUUCAAAUUAAAGACACAGGAGCUUUUAAAAGUGCCUUUGAAUUUAAAUAUGCUGUAUUUGCAUCUUUGUUUUGAAGGGGCGGGAAGUAAUCACUGAAAAUGCCUGGGACAAUUCAGAAGUAACGAAAAUAGGGCCCACCCUAUUCCUACAACUGUAAUUUGUUUUAACUGUUUUCUAUUCUGAAUUUUAAAUCAUUAUGACUCAUCCUGGGGUCUGCUAGUGAAAGGCAUGUAACAACAACAACAACAACAACAACAGUCCCUUGAUCAUCCCAGCAGGUUCUCUUCCCUAUGCAUGUCUAGGUAGAGAACAAUAGAAAAAGAACAUCUGCUUUUGUCAACUUGGCUUGAAUCAGAGUAAAAUGAAAUGGCCACUAUGUAUAUUGAAAUUGUUCCACAGGUUUGUUCAGACUGUCUUCAACUGUGUAGGCUUCCAACUUCCCAUCAUGAGGACUGAUUAGUCACAUGUGUACAGAUGAGCAGUAUGAAUAUACAUGAGUUUAUCCUGAUUCUUCUAACAAAAGAAAGUCUAUACUUGUCAAAAAAUAAUUGGAAGAAUGGCCAUGUACAUUUGGUCUCUCUGACAAGCCCUCUCAUCUCAGUGAAUCAGUUCAGCCAAGCUGGACUUGCCAAGCCAAACACAGCCAACUAUGUAUUGUGGCCUGUUUGCUGACUGACAAGACCCCUGCUUUGGCAGUCCCAGACAGGCACAAAAAAACAAGCUUAUAAAGAUCUUUUUGGACCACCGUAUGCAGUGGAUCACAAUUUGUACAAGGCCACACAUGUUCUUUAACAUGGUAAUAAAAGAUUUAGGUCCUUUUAACCUUAGCUCCAUUGGGCCAAGGCUUUCCAGUGUCUUUGAAUUAAAAAUAUCCAGUUAAGGGGACAGAUAUUACCAUAUGAAUCCAUUGUGUGUGUGUGUGUGUGUGUGUGUGAGAGAGAGAGAGAGAGAGAGAGAGCACAUCAGAAGAUUAAGUAGUGGCAGAUGCCUCAGGACAUUAUCUAAACAAAAUGUUUGAAAUGUGAAUUACUAGAACUCUGAUUAUCUUCCAUGCUGACUGAGUGGAACAUUUCCCUGAGAAUGACCUCAAGGGAGCAAGCAGAAUUCUCUAACGUGAAAUGAGAACCAAAAUAUAUCAACAUCAAAGGCUUCACUAAGUUGGGAGCCUGACAGCAGAAUCGGGGAGGUAGUGUGAGAACAUGUAGUACUAACAAUUAAAUAUUAACUAAGGGGGAAAUUUAGCAAGCCAAAUGCAAACGACAUGCAUCUGAAUAACAGAAACAGACUGAGCCAACCUGAAAGCUUCUUUGGUGUCAACUGUACAUGUUACAAAAAUGUUGAGAUUUCUAGUGCCCAAAGGCCAGGAGUUCUCUAACUGAGAUGUUAUUUGGGUGUGAAAUAUUGUUUUGAAUACUGGAAGGAUCAGAAAGAUAAGAAGACUUCAGUCUGUGAAUAUCCUGAGAUAUUAGAAUCCAGGCCAAAGACGAGGUUUAACAGACAAAGGAGUUCUAGUAAUUUCACUUACUUGAUGUGUGAAAUGAGAAUGUUUAAAGAGAGUUUGUUUGUUUUUUUUAAAAAAAACCAUGGUAAAAAAAAAUAUGGACCAUUUUGUAAAAUCAAGGAUCAAGUGUAGUAUGUAUUGUAUGCAUGCUGUUGCUAUGGGAGAAGGUGAAAUUUUCCAUCACAAAGGGGGGAAAAUCCUGUUGUGGUUCCAAGUGAGAAAGUUUAUUUAACACAUAGGAACAAAAUAGCUUAGUGUAUUGCCCACACAACUUGGCAACCAAAAUGGUAGGGAGGAGACAUUAAAGGUUUCAUUGUCAAACCCUAUUUUUCAUUCCUACCAACGUGGCAUAGGAAAUUAUUUUGAACUAUGUACAUAUUGCCACGUAUAUGAGAAAUGGAGCAGUAUGAGGGGGCUACACUUUGCAGAACUGAAAUCAAGACCAGAAAUAUCAGAGGUUAACAUAUCAGUGUUUCUGCACAUCAGGUAUAGAGAUUUGUAAGGUUUGCCUUUGCAGUGGGCUGAUCCAUUCAGAUGCUCCUGAACCUGCUUGAAGGUUUAAGCCAGGCUUCCUCAACCUCGGCCAUCCAGAUGUUUUUGGCCUAAAGCUCCCAUGAUCCCUAGCUAGCAGGACCAGUGGUCAGGGAUGAUGGGAAUUGUAGUCUCAAAACAUCUGGAGGGCUGAGGUUGAGGAAGCCUGUUUUAAACAAAAUUUCCAGUCCGAUUAUGCAGGUCUCUGGAUUUCACAAUGAAGUUUUGGUGUGCAAAAGAUACAACCAAAAAAUGGCAUUUUAAUUAAAAAUGUAUACAAAUAGAUAGCAAAGAUAUGCAUUUUUCAGACGUAUAGACCAAAAAAAAUUGAAAAUACAUAUUUUAUGUUCAGAAAGUGUGCAUUUUAAAAGUGUAAUUUAAAUGAGGCCUUUUUGUACAUACUUUCAUUCAUACUAGGAUGGUAUGGGUUAAAGCUGCAUAUAAGUCUAAUGCAAACCCCCCUUUUUAAAAACAUAUUAAUAAUAAUUCAGAUAACUGGGAGGAAAUUAACAUCACAGUAAGUCAACUGUUCCACCUGGGCAACCAUUUGGCUUGCUAGAUAGACUGAUUCCUCUCUCCUCUAACCCCUCCUUAUCCUAUCUGUUUGUGAUAACUGCUACAACUAUAUCAAUUCCAUCUGCAAUUGAGUAUUCCUUCCAACCCAGAUUCUAUUACUGAGCCCUACCUUCAACUGCUUCUCUUCUAUCUUGGAAUGUUAGCCACAAUGGGAUGACUAGAGUUUCUUUCCUUGGCUUCAACCUCCAAGUAGCUAUUAUAAGAAGAAUCAGGUAUAGGCUGCUGGCAGGCUAAGCGAGUCCUCCCAGCUUUUGAAUUAUUCUUCAGUUUCCUCAAUCUGCCCAUAUGCUUUUUUUCCCCCUGUUUGUCCUUAGCUUUGAUCCAACCUUGCUAUCAGUGCUCUGUCUUACUCACUGACUAGGGAUGGACUGAACAAUUCCAUUAUUGUGGAUUUCAUGAUUCUGACCCAUUCCAUUUUGUUGGGAAAUUAUGCUGUGAGCCAUUUCCAUAGGGAAGAAACCCUCCCACUGUAUUAGUCAGUUCUCAACAGCUAGUCCAUAUUUGCUAUCUGAAACAGAUGAGUUUACAAGAUGAAAGAUCCCUGUGAAUUUCUUCCCCUUAUCUUGUCAUUUUCUAUUAUAGAAAAUAUAUAGAGCUUCCUGCAGCCAAUCGGAAGCCACGCUUUGGUUUUUGAAUGCUUUGGAAGUUGAAUGGACUUCUGGAAUGGAUUCCGAUCGACUUCCAAGGAACGAGGGUAGUAGGGGAUGGACACACAGUGGAAUUGGUUUCAUGUAUUUGAUUUCUUGUUACAUUGUAGAAAAGGGGGAAAUCCAAAUACUUCCAUAAAAUGAUGCCAAACAAAAAUGAGUAGUUUGUAACACAUUCCUUUAGAAGAAGUAAAUCCCACAAGGUCAUUGGGAUUUUGCGUACUUGUCUCAUGGAAUAAGACUCUAUUUUAGCAGAAAGCGAAAGAGACAAGGUAUCAACUGCAAUGCUAUGAAAAGAUACGGAUAGCUUCUAAGAUGUUACUCCUUCCUUCUCCCUCCUGAGAGGACCUUUCCCAAUUGCCUAGAUGUCACGUUUCAGUUUCAUGCUUGAAAAAGAGACCAUGUGGGGUAGGAGAUAAGGCAGUUUUUGGUGGAAAAAUCAGACAAAAGGUUAAGCACUUCUCUACUCAAAAUCACAGCCUCCCAAACUGCUUUUCUUUUUAAUAGAGUGCAUCAGGGCGAUUGGCAUUUAACACAUAGUUAGUUCCAAAGUCUCUACAAAAUCAGAGGGUUAAAACAAUUUUAAGUGGCAGUAGCCAGGGCAAAUUCAAGAAAAGAGGCAAUGGGUUAAGGUCAGGAGAGCAAUCCAUAAGGAGUGGAACAAGGCAUGAAAAGGAUCUUUAGAACUCAGACAAUCGACUGAACUGUCCAAUGGAUGGGUGAACAUGCAACAACUUAGUCUUCAGUCCAGAGAGUUUUUAUGAUGGGCCUGAUUUUGACCAGUGGCCUUGGUGCAGAUAGAAUAAGGAGCAGAGCAUUGUUGGCAAACACCCAGUUUAAGAUCUAUGAUGUCUUACAUAGACCUCCCAGGAGCUCAAACCCCCUUUGCACAAACAAAAUCCAUCAACAUCAUCUACCCUAGUUGUAGUUCCAAGGGAUAUAUCACAUGAAACUGUGUUUUUGGUGGCUUCAUUCGAGCUCCUCUGGAAUUUAUUCCUGUGACAGGAAUUGUCUAAGGAACUUGGGAUGCUCGCCAUUUAAUCAAAUGAACGAGCAAACAAAAACUCAACUAAAUGUGGUUUUUUCUUCCCACCCAACAUGAAAUUUACACUGGCUUACAGCCCAGAACAAGCACAUUUACUCCGGCACCUGUGACAAGUUCACAACUGAACUCAUGUGGCAUAUCAGGACUAGAAAUGAGAACUUGAAAUGAUAAAAAAGGAAUGAAUCUACAGUAGAGUUUUUGAAGAAGAGCAAAUGCAAAAAGAUUUCUUCUAUGAUGUGACAGUCCUUGAAGCACUGACACAAGUUCCCUCAGCACUAAAUACUUCUAAUUGUUCAGCUUAUCAUAUGGCAGAACCAGAUGCCACAAGAAAGGCAGUGCAGCUCCUACUCCAAGUUUCUUCCUCCACUCUUCUUGGUAAUUUGCAAUACAAUACACAAUUUGUGUAAUAAUACAUGUGGAUAUAUAAUUGAAUGCUAAUAGUGUGCUGCCUCAGCAGGAUCCAGAAAAGAGAGAUAUAAAUAAUUGUAUGGAAUAAAUAAAAAAUGAAAUACAUUGCACAUGGCAUAACAUCACCACGUCAUUCACCUCCUAUUCCCUCCACUGCCACCAGACAAUUAUGUAAUGUGCUUGGGGAAACACAGUACAUACAUGUCACAUGUUGUAUUAUAGAAUGCAGGGGUGGGGAAUCUCAGGCUUGCGGGGUGAAUGUGACCCUCUAGGCUUUCAUAGCCUGCCCUUGGGACUGUGUUCAAGCCAUGUCCUAUCACCAGGCCAAACCCCUCACCUACCCUGCUCUGAAACCCCAUUGAAUAUAUUUGCCAGGCUGAAAUGUGGCCUCAAACUGUAAUGUCUACUCUUUAUUUUGAUUCAGAGGUGCAUGAGUGUAGACCCUUCUCACAUCUGCAUGACAGGAAUGUAGCCUACUGUGCAAAGCUAAGAGUCAUGUCUGUUGCUUUUGCCUCUGGGCCUUCGACUGAAAAGGGUUCCCCUUUGAUAUAACACUAAGUGACAACAAGUUGUGUUCUGCCAUUUUUUUCUUCCAGGUUUGUUCUGUAGAAGAGGCCUAGUUGAUUUGUUUAACUUCGUUAGGUGGUUACGGAAGUCUAAGGUAUGCCUGAUGUAAAUUCUUUGUGCUGUGUAUACAUAUGCGGCUGUAUCAUGGAUCUUGGCUGUAAAUAAUGGAUUGGUGUUUUGGCUUGAAGCCAGAACCUUUUAUCAUUUUACUUUCAAUUCAGGGCAAAAGUGAAUAUUGCAUCUAUAUUUUAAGCUUUGGGCAGAAUUAAUUGAAGCCUGUUUUUGCAGCUGGUAAAAUUAUUGGGAAUGCUUGUAAGGAUCGGGUUAAAGAAAGAGUAUAAAACCACUGGCACUUUCCCAGAAGGAGAUGUAACUUCCUGUCAUGCAUAUAGCCACUGGCCGUAUCACCUAUCUUUGCAGGGGGUAAAUGUUAGGAUAAAAGAUAAAACACACACAUACACACACUCAUUCUUGGGACUAGGGUGUUCAAUGCUCAAGUCACUUGCAUGCAAUGUAAGACUGAAGACAAAGAUGGCUUGAUUGUGUCAUAGAAAAAGACAAUGAAAACACAUAUUCUUUUAUGCCCUUCUGCAGUAUCUUAUUGUGCUGGCUUAGUAAAUCUGAGAGUGCUUCAAAGUUGAAGCUGAAGUGGGGGGAAACUGAUUCAUCCUCUCUGCUGUGCUUGUGACUAGUCCAGCUAUCUGUUGACUUGCAUCCAUUGGCACCACUAGAUCUACGUAAAGCACUUAUAACUUAGUGAAGACAGCCACACCACUUUCAAAGUCAUAUAUGAAGUCUCUGUAGGUGGGGGCUGCCUAUAGGCAAUGUUUCCAGUAAGGCAAAAUCCUUACUGACUUUUGGGGGCAAUGACUUAACAGGGAGCUAUGAUAAGAGCACCUUUCCAUUCCUUCCUUCCUUCCUUCCUUCCUUCCUUCCCCCCUCUCUAAGCUUGUCUUGCUGCUGCCAGAAGCAGAGACAGUGAUUCUCUAAUGUACCACUUUUCCCACCAAACAAUGCCUCUGGCAUCAUGUUUUAGCAGUGUUCUAAUGGCACCCUGUUUGGUGGGGAGGGAUGCUGCAUAGUGGCACCACUACUGUUUGCAAUGGUGGCAAAACAAAGAUGAAAAAUGGGAAUAAGAAGCUUUCCCACUAGCAUUCCUCCCGAAAGCCCUAAUCCCCGAACGUUACUUCAAUUUUACCCUACCUCCCAAAAAUAAUUUCUGGCAGUUUUUUUCUUCUUGCUUCCCAACUUCACUGAGUUUCAGAUAAUUAAUUUUGGGGUACGAAUCUUUGAGUCGGUGAACAGAGGCUCUCGUUUUUACCCCUUUCCCAAUGUUUCCUAGCACGGAAUUCACAGCUGCCACCUAGGACCUAAGAUCCAUUUCCAAAAAUAUAUCAGUCUUGGUUCCAGAACAUUGUGUAGUUGGGAUUUCAGUGUUUAAAUGCAGGAAACAAAAAUGAAAUGUCCCACUGCAAAUGCUAUUAUCUACAUGGUGACAGUAAGGGGCCAGUCUAAAUAUUUAGCUCCACGGUCAUAUGACCUUGCUGACCCUGCAGUUAAACUUUUUUUUUUAACUUUUUUCUUCUUUUUUGGCAUGGCUUAUCAAUAAAGCCAUGCACAUCAGUAAGACAGAGGGUAAAAUUGAAAUGAAUUUUAAAAACAAUGCAUUUUCCAACUCCCUAACUUGUUUUAUAAAAUUCUCCUAGUUAAACCAGAAUUCAAGAGGAGAGGAAAAUAGCACAGAUCAAACCAGAAAAAAACAGCAAAGACAAGAGGACAAAUCUCCAUAAUUUCCAUCAAAUCU